rnacentral:rRNA from 1 species
GCUACCAUGCAGUCGAGCGGAACAGGAAACUUGCUGCUGAUCUGAUGACGAGGACGGGUGAGAAUGCUUAUGAAUCUGCCUAUUACCGAGGGACGACAUUUACUACUGAAUGCUAAUACCGCUUACGUCCUACGGCAGAAAACCGGGGAUCGUCGUCCCUUGCCCUAGUACAUGAGCCUGAACCCGAUUAGCUAUAUGUAGGGGGAGAGGCCUACCAUCGCCACGAUCUGUAUCUCUACUGGGAGGAAGAUCCUGCACACUGGCACUGAGACUGAGACCCGACUCCUACUCCAGGCGGAGGCGGGGAAGAUUGAACUUGGGCCGCGAGCCUGAUCCUGACGUGCCCCUGGCGUGAGGAAGGACAUAGGCUUGUGAAGGACUUUAACUGACGAGGAGGAUGAUUGAGAUAAUACCUAUACACAUAGGACGUGACUCUACCAAUAAAAAACGGCUAACUCUGCUCCAGGACCCGCGCCAAUACAAAGGGGGCGAGGGUAAAUCGAAUUUACUGUACUGGAAGCGCGCGGAGGCGGCUAAUUCAAUUAAAUGUGAAGUCCCCGACCUUAACUUGGGAAUUGAAUUGCAUACUGGUUGGCUAGAGUGUGGGAGAGGAUGGUAGAAUUCCAUGUGUAUGCGGUGAAAUGCGUAGAGAUCUGGAGUGAAUACCGAUGGCGAAGGCAACCCAUCUGGCCUAACACUGACGCUGAGGUGCGAAAGCAUGGGGGAGCAAACAGGAUUAGAUACCCUGGUAUGUCCAUGCCGUGAAACGAUGUCUACUAGAGCGGUGGGGCUUUUGAGCCUUUAGUUGGGCAGCUAACGCGAUAAGUAGACCGCCUGGGGAGUACGGUCGCAAGGUUAAAACUCAAAUGAAUUGACGGGGGCCCGCACAAGCGGUGGAGCAUGUGGUUUAAUUCGAUGCAACGCGAAGAACCUUACCUGCCCUUGACAUACUAAGAAUCUUCCAGAGAUGGAGGGGUGCCUUCGGGAACUUACAUACAGGUGCUGCAUGGCUGUCGUCAGCUCGUGUCGUGAGAUGUUGGGUUAAGUCCCGCAACGAGCGCAACCCUUUUCCUUAUUUGCCAGCGAGUAAUGUCGGGAACUCUAAGGAUACUGCCAGUGACAAACUGGAGGAAGGUGGGGAUGACGUCAAGUCAUCAUGGCCCUUACGGCCAGGGCUACACACGUGCUACAAUGGUCGGUACAAAGGGAAGCUACCUAGCGAUAGCAAGCUAAUCUCAAAAAGCCGAUCGUAGUCCGGAUUGGAGUCUGCAACUCGACUCCAUGAAGUCGAAUCGCUAGUAAUCGGUAGA